AUAAGCCUAGGGGGGCAGCAGUAGGGAAUCUUCCACAAUGGGCGAAAGCCUGAUGGAGCAACGCCGCGUGGGUGAAGAAGGUCUUCGGAUCGUAAAACCCUGUUGUUAGAGAAGAAAGUGCGUGAGAGUAACUGUUCACGUUUCGACGGUAUCUAACCAGAAAGCCACGGCUAACUACGUGCCAGCAGCCGCGGUAAUACGUAGGUGGCAAGCGUUAUCCGGAUUUAUUGGGCGUAAAGGGAACGCAGGC
rnacentral:rRNA from 1 species